rnacentral:rRNA from 1 species
CCUACGGGCGGCAGCAGUGAGGAAUAUUGGUCAAUGGGCGCUAGCCUGAACCAGCCAAGUAGCGUGAAGGAUGACUGCCCUAUGGGUUGUAAACUUCUUUUAUAUGGGAGUAAAGUGCAGUAUGUAUACUGCUUUGCAUGUACCUUAUGAAUACGGAUCGGCUAACUCCGUGCCAGCAGCCGCGGUAAUACGGAGGAUCCGAGCGUUAUCCGGAUUUAUUGGGUUUAAAGGGAGCGUAGGCGGGUUGUUAAGUCAGUUGUGAAAGUUUGUGGCUCAACCGUAGAAUUGCAGUGGCUACUGGCAUCCUUGAGUGCAGUAGAGGUAGGCGGAAUUCGUGGUGUAGCGGUGAAAUGCUUAGAUAUCAGGAAGAACACCGAUGGCGAAGGCAGCCUGCUGGACUGUAACUGACGCUGAUGCUCGAAAGUGUGGGGAUCAAACAGGAUUAGAUACCCGGGUAGUC